CUCAGGACGAACGCUGGCGGCGCGCCUAACACAUGCAAGUCGAACGGAGCUGAGAGGAGCUUGCUUUUCAUAACUUAGUGGCGGACGGGUGAGUAACGCGUGGGUAACCUGCCCUGUACUGGGGGACAACAGUUGGAAACGACUGCUAAUACCGCAUAAGCGCACGGGAUCGCAUGAUCUAGUGUAGAAAAACUCCGGUGGUACAGGAUGGACCCGCGUCUGAUUAGCUGGUUGGUGAGGUAACGGCCCACCAAGGCAACGAUCAGUAGCCGGCCUGAGAGGGUGAUCGGCCACAUUGGGACUGAGACACGGCCCAAACUCCUACGGGGAGGCAGCAGGUGGGGAAUUAGUUGGGCAAUGGAAGGAAACUCUGACCCAGCAACGCCGCGUGGAGGAAGUAAGGUUUUCGGAUACGUAAACUCCUGUCCUUGGAGACGAGUAGAAGACGGUAUCCAAGGAGGACGCCCGGCUAACUACGUG
rnacentral:rRNA from 1 species